UACGGAGGGUCCGAGCGUUAAUCGGAAUUACUGGGCGUAAAGCGUGCGCAGGCGGUUUGUUAAGCGAGAUGUGAAAGCCCUGGGCUCAACCUAGGAAUAGCAUUUCGAACUGGCGAACUAGAGUCUUGUAGAGGGGGGUAGAAUUCCAGGUGUAGCGGUGAAAUGCGUAGAGAUCUGGAGGAAUACCGGUGGCGAAGGCGGCCCCCUGGACAAAGACUGACGCUCAUGCACGAAAGCGUGGGGAGCAAACAGGAUUAGAAACCCCGGGUAGUCC
rnacentral:rRNA from 1 species